CAGCAGCCGCGGUAAUACGAAGGGUGCAAGCGUUACUCGGAAUUACUGGGCGUAAAGCGUGCGUAGGUGGUGGUUUAAGUCCGUUGUGAAAGCCCUGGGCUCAACCUGGGAAUUGCAGUGGAUACUGGAUCACUAGAGUGUGGUAGAGGAUAGUGGAAUUUCCGGUGUAGCAGUGAAAUGCGUAGAGAUCGGAAGGAACAUCUGUGGCGAAGGCGACCAUCUGGGCCAACACUGACACUGAGGCACGAAAGCGUGGGGAGCAAACAGGAUUAGAUACCCCUGUAGUCCCUGUCUCUUAUAC
rnacentral:rRNA from 1 species